CUUUUUCUCUAUUUCUCUUUCCAAUCUUUUUGUUUCUAUCUGAUCUUGGAAGAUAAGCAGGGUUGGGCCUGGUCAGUACUUGGAUUGGAGACCACCUUGGAAUACCAGAUGCUGUAGGGU
rfam:Callithrix jacchus chromosome 2, whole genome shotgun sequence